rfam:Scheffersomyces stipitis CBS 6054 chromosome 2, complete sequence.
UCCGAUAUAGUGUAAUGGCUAUCACUCGAGACUCUCCAUCUUGAAAUCCGGGUUCGAUUCCCGGUAUCGGAG